rnacentral:rRNA from 1 species
UACGUAGGGGGCAAGCGUUGUCCGGAAUCAUUGGGCGUAAAGAGCGUGUAGGCGGCUCGAUAAGUCCGCUCUGAAAGCCCGGGGCUCAACCCCGGGAGGCGGGCGGAAACUGUCGGGCUAGAGUCCGGAAGAGGCGAGUGGAAUUCCCGGUGUAGCGGUGAAAUGCGCAGAUAUCGGGAGGAACACCCAUGGCGAAGGCAGCUCGCUGGGACGUGACUGACGCUGAGACGCGAAAGCGUGGGGAGCAAACAGG